CAGCCGCCGCGGGAAUACGUAGGUGGCAAGCGUUGUCCGGAAUUAUUGGGCGUAAAGGGCUCGCAGGCGGUUUCUUAAGUCUGAUGUGAAAGCCCCCGGCUCAACCGGGGAGGGUCAUUGGAAACUGGGAAACUUGAGUGCAGAAGAGGAGAGCGGAAUUCCACGUGUAGCGGUGAAAUGCGUAGAGAUGUGGAGGAACACCAGUGGCGAAGGCGACUCUCUGGUCUGUAACUGACGCUGAGGAGCGAAAGCGUGGGGAGCGAACAGGAUUAGAUACCCGCGUAGUCCCUGUCUCUUAUAC
rnacentral:rRNA from 1 species